AAGGAUCUUUUCUUUUUCUCUUUUUUUGAAAUUUGAAUAAGUACCAGAGGACAAGAAGUCCACCAUUACUAACUACAGAAGAAGAAGUAUAAAUGAA